rnacentral:rRNA from 1 species
UGUAAAAAUUGGUAACAAUAAUUAAAACUUUAAUUGUAAUUAAUGAAUAUUUUAGAAAGAGUUUUUCUUUUUCUUUUUAAUAAAUUUUUAUUAAUAUUGAAUUUCUUUGGAGAUUUGAUAUAAAAUUAAAUGGAAUAAUAUUAUAUUGAGAUAUUUAAUACUAUUUAGAAGAAUUAAAAUAAAAUUUGAUUUGUAUUGUUUUAAUCUAAAUUAUAUUCAAUAAUCCUUGAAAAUUAAAGUGAUUGAUGUUAACAUAUGAAGUUUAAAAUGGUCGUACUCAUCACCGCAUCAGGUCUCUAAGGUGAAAAGCCUCUAGUUGAUUAGAAAUAAUGCAGGUAAGGAAAGUCGGCAAAUUAGAUCCGUAACUUCGGGAAAUGGAUUGGCUCAUAAAAUUAUAAAAUAAUAAAAUAAUUUUUUUUAUUUGUUAUUAAUUAUAUGACUGAUACGAUACA